UUCUGUUACUCUUUCUGGAUUCGGGGAACCUUCAUCAGAGUCUUCGUUAUCUCUGUCAAUCGGAGAUUGCGUUGAAGUUACAUCAGAGCUUCUAAGAGUCCUGGUCUUUUAGAUCAUCAGAGUUGAUUCCAGUGGAAGUUUAGAGCUUCUGGUAUUCUACCGUCAUGUUUUGCUCAGAGUCAGAACUUCUAGAGCGCACUUCUUCU
rnacentral:lncRNA from 1 species